UCAGGCAAGUCAUCCUUGGCUA
rnacentral:snRNA from 1 species